GGUGAUUUAUAUCGAUCUUUAGCUGAUAUGGUUAUUAAUACCAAAGAGAUAUGAUACUCAGUUCAGUAAGUAAUCGAGCUCAGCUUUGUUACAUCAGUAGAUUACCGAUGUGCCAUCAAAGUGCAGACGAUUAUCUAGUAGCUGUUAUCCAGUUCAGCAUCCACUAUUUUUCAGCUAUACUACAACCAAUCACCAUGUGGGCAAAUACCCCAUGAUCACUAUAUAGUUGGUCAUUCUGUUAUAAUAAAUUAAUAUCCUAACAAACUCUCCUAACGGUCUAACAAUCUGAGCAGGCCUCCUCACCCUUCUAUAUAAAGGAGGACAUAGUGUUCUCCACAAUAUAAGUCUGAAGGGAUAGAGCUAAGACUUUACUGAAUCAUUUUCAGCUCCCCCACUGAAGGAAGCAAGAGUCCUCUCUCUAUUUUGCCCAUAAUCUCUUUUCUCAUCCUUAUAUUCUUUCAUUCUUACUACCUAUUCUCAAGGCUUUAUCUGACUUAACCAUCAGAAGAUCUUAAAUCGGAGGGUACCCUACUGAUUUUGAGACUUUCUUUGUAGAAAUUAUCAUACUUCAUUAGAUUCAACCACAAAGCAACCUAGUUCGGUUCAUUGCCGAUCUUGCCGACUGUCAACUGAAGCCUUAUAGCAAUAGAUUGGCAUUAAAAGAAGGGCUUUGAAAAAUCUUGAUGAAAAUGGUUAACAAUAAGGUGUUGAAUCAUCCU
rnacentral:lncRNA from 1 species